GAUGAACGCUGGCGGCGUGCCUAAUACAUGCAAGUCGAGCGAACAGACGGGGAGCUUGCUUCUCUGACGUUAGCGGCGGACGGGUGAGUAACACGUGGAUAACCUACCUAUAAGACUGGGAUAACUUCGGGAAACCGGAGCUAAUACCGGAUAAUAUUUUGAACCGCAUGGUUCAAUAGUGAAAGACGGUCUUGCUGUCACUUAUAGAUGGAUCCGCGCUGCAUUAGCUAGUUGGUAAGGUAACGGCUUACCAAGGCAACGAUGCGUAGCCGACCUGAGAGGGUGAUCGGCCACACUGGAACUGAGACACGGUCCAGACUCCUACGGGAGGCAGCAGUAGGGAAUCUUCCGCAAUGGGCGAAAGCCUGACGGAGCAACGCCGCGUGAGUGAUGAAGGUCUUCGGAUCGUAAAACUCUGUUAUUAGGGAAGAACAUAUGUGUAAGUAACUGUGCACAUCUUGACGGUACCUAAUCAGAAAGCCACGGCUAACUACGUG
rnacentral:rRNA from 1 species